rnacentral:rRNA from 1 species
GAUGAACGCUGGCGGCGUGCUUAACACAUGCAAGUCGAACGGCAAGGCCCAAGCUUGUUUGUGUUCUCGAUUGGCGAACGGGUGAGUAACACGUAGGCAAUCUGCUCUGCACUUCCGUAUAAGCUUGGGUAACUGGGUCUACUCCCGUAUAGGACCACAUUUUGGAUGGUGUGGUGGAAAGUUUUUCGGUGUGCGAUGAUCGCUCGGCCUAUCUGCUUUUUGGUGGUGUAAUGGGAUACCAAGCCGUAGACGGGUAGCCGGCCUGUGAGGGUGUACGGGGACAAUGGGACUGAGAGACGGAGCAGACGCGUACGGGAGGCAGCAGGGGGGAAUAUUGCACAAUGGGAGCAAGCCGGGUGAAGAGACGUCGGGUGGGGGAUGACGGCCUGCGGGUUGUAAACAGCUGUAGCUAGGGACGAAGCGCAAGUGACGGUACCUGGAGAAGAAGCACCGGCUAACUACGUG